GUGAACGCUGGCGGUAGGCCUAACACAUGCAAGUCGCACGGCAGCACAGUAAGAGCUUGCUCUUACGGGUGGCGAGUGGCGGACGGGUGAGGAAUACAUCGGAAUCUACUUUUUCGUGGGGGAUAACGUAGGGAAACUUACGCUAAUACCGCAUACGACCUACGGGUGAAAGCAGGGGAUCUUCGGACCUUGCGCGAUUGAAUGAGCCGAUGUCGGAUUAGCUAGUUGGCGGGGUAAAGGCCCACCAAGGCGACGAUCCGUAGCUGGUCUGAGAGGAUGAUCAGCCACACUGGAACUGAGACACGGUCCAGACUCCUACGGGAGGCAGCAGUGGGGAAUAUUGGACAAUGGGCGCAAGCCUGAUCCGGCCAUACCGCGUGGGUGAAGAAGGCCUUCGGGUUGUAAAGCCCUUUUGUUGGGAAAGAAAAGCAGCAGGUUAAUACCCCGCUGUUCUGACGGUACCCAAAGAAUAAGCACCGGCUAACUUCGUG
rnacentral:rRNA from 1 species